GGGGGCGAUUUUGGAUUCGACAGGAUUCACGAAACCCUGGGAGCAUGCCGAGGGGCGGUUGGCCUCGUAAAAAGCCGCAUUGUUAUAGUUGCUAACGACGAUAACGCAUACGGAGAGCUGCGCCUACAAGCGUAAAGCCUCCCCAUUCUACUCACGUUUUGCAAAUGGGCAGAGUUUUUGAAUGGUCAUCUAACAUUUGAUAGCGAGGGAACCUUGUUUGGGGGUGAACCGCGAAACAGUACCAAACUCACCUGACGAUAUCCUGUCUUUCGGAGCUCUCUCAGGUUAAAUAAAUGAAAGACUAAGCAUGUAGCGCCUUGGAUGUAGGCUUUCUGGACGCGGGUUCAAGUCCCGCCGCCUCCACCA
rnacentral:tmRNA from 2 species